UACGAACCGUACAAACGUUAUUCGGAAUCACUGGGCUUAAAGGGUGCGUAGGCGGCCAUGUAAGUGAGGGGUGAAAUCCCUCGGCUCAACCGAGGAACUGCGCUUCAUACUGCAUGGCUUGAGGGAGACAGGGGUAAGCGGAACUGAUGGUGGAGCGGUGAAAUGCGUUGAUAUCAUCAGGAACACCGGUGGCGAAAGCGGCUUACUGGGUCUCUUCUGACGCUGAGGUACGAAAGCUAGGGUAGCGAACGGG
rnacentral:rRNA from 1 species